UACGGAGGAUGCAAGCGUUAUCCGGAAUUAUUGGGCGUAAAGCGUCCGCAGGUGGCUCGACAAGUCUGCUGUCAAAGACCGAAGCUCAACUUCGGACAGGCGGUGGAAACUGUCAAGCUAGAGACCGGUAGGGGUAGAGGGAAUUCACAGUGUAGCGGUGAAAUGCGUAGAUAUUGUGAAGAACACCAGUGGCGAAGGCGCUCUACUGGGCCGGUACUGACACUCAGGGACGAAAGCUAGGGGAGCGAAAGGG
rnacentral:rRNA from 1 species